GUCUAUGGCCAUGCUACCCUGAACAAGCCCAAUCCGGCUGAUAUUGGAAGCUAAGCAGGGUCAGGCCUGGUUAGUACUUGGAUGGGAGACCACCUAGGAAGACCAGGUACUGUAGGUG
rnacentral:rRNA from 1 species